AGAGUUUGAUCCUGGCUCAGGAUGAACGCUAGCUACAGGCUUAACACAUGCAAGUCGAGGGGCAGCAUUUCAGUUUGCUUGCAAACUGGAGAUGGCGACCGGCGCACGGGUGAGUAACACGUAUCCAACCUGCCGAUAACUCGGGGAUAGCCUUUCGAAAGAAAGAUUAAUACCCGAUGGUAUAAUCAGACCGCAUGGUCUUGUUAUUAAAGAAUUUCGGUUAUCGAUGGGGAUGCGUUCCAUUAGGCAGUUGGUGAGGUAACGGCUCACCAAACCUUCGAUGGAUAGGGGUUCUGAGAGGAAGGUCCCCCACAUUGGAACUGAGACACGGUCCAAACUCCUACGGGAGGCAGCAGUGAGGAAUAUUGGUCAAUGGGCGCAGGCCUGAACCAGCCAAGUAGCGUGAAGGAUGACUGCCCUAUGGGUUGUAAACUUCUUUUAUAUGGGAAUAAAGUUUUCCACGUGUGGAAUUUUGUAUGUACCAUAUGAAUAAGGAUCGGCUAACUCCGUGCCAGCAGCCGCGGUAAUACGGAGGAUCCGAGCGUUAUCCGGAUUUAUUGGGUUUAAAGGGAGCGUAGAUGGAUGUUUAAGUCAGUUGUGAAAGUUUGCGGCUCAACCGUAAAAUUGCAGUUGAUACUGGAUAUCUUGAGUGCAGUUGAGGCAGGCGGAAUUCGUGGUGUAGCGGUGAAAUGCUUAGAUAUCACGAAGAACUCCGAUUGCGAAGGCAGCUCACUGGACUGCAACUGACACUGAUGCUCGAAAGUGUGGGUAUCAAACAGGAUUAGAUACCCUGGUAGUCCACACAGUAAACGAUGAAUACUCGCUGUUUGCGAUAUACAGUAAGCGGCCAAGCGAAAGCAUUAAGUAUUCCACCUGGGGAGUACGCCGGCAACGGUGAAACUCAAAGGAAU
rnacentral:rRNA from 1 species